rnacentral:snRNA from 1 species
AUACCUUUCUCGGCCUUUUGGCUAAAAGUAUAGUAUCUGAUACGUGGGCCAUUGGCCCAUAUGAUAUUAAAUUAAUUUUUUUAGGGGAAGAGCCCAUAAUAGUAGCUGGAACCUGGAUGUUUGGGGUUCUCAUGCGUCGCCCAUGCCUUGCACUUUUUGGGCCUGGCGAACUCUAU